AACUUUUAAUUUGUUGGUAUAACUUCUUGCUGCGAUUUAAUUUAAGUACCACAUCCUUAACCUUUUCGAGGUAUCGUUUCUGUGCGCCUGAAUCGGAAGGAAGCUUUUCAAGAAUGGGGUUUUUAGCACCCAAUUUAUGUAGUACCAAUGCUCUCAAUUCUACUCCUCUCAGUCCUAAUGAUUUAAGGCGUGAAGGCGUUGACUUUACAAGAUACUCGUCAAGACCGCCUUCCUUGUCAAUGGUCCGCAAAACUCGGGACGUGACAUACAAAUGAAACUUUUCUUCUAAAACAUUUGAAUA